GUCUCCAGCUCAAUGGUAGAGCGCGUCACUAGUAAUGACGAGGUUGCCGGGUAAGUUUGACUCUUCAUAGACU